rnacentral:rRNA from 1 species
ACAUGCCUAUAGCAUAGAAUUAAUGCAUCAGAUCCCAUUACGACUCUGCAAUUAAGCGCACUCAUGCUAGAGUAGUACUGGGAUGGGUGAUCACCCAGGAAGUCCUAGUGUUUUACAUGCC